rnacentral:rRNA from 1 species
UACGUAGGGUGCGAGCGUUAAUCGGAAUUACUGGGCGUAAAGCGUGCGCAGGCGGUUUUGUAAGCCAGAUGUGAAAUCCCCGGGCUUAACCUGGGAAUGGCAUUUGGGACUGCAAGGCUCGAGUGCGGCAGAGGAGACUGGAAUUCCUGGUGUAGCAGUGAAAUGCGUAGAUAUCAGGAGGAACACCGAUGGCGAAGGCAGGUCUCUGGGCUGACACUGACGCUCAUGCACGAACGCGUGGGGAGCAAACAGG